rnacentral:rRNA from 1 species
AGCAGCCGCGGUAAUUCCAGCUCCAAUAGCGUAUAUUAAAGUUGUUGCAGUUAAAAAGCUCGUAGUUGAAUUUCGGGUAUCAGUACGCUGGUCAUGCCUUUGGUAUGCACUGGUGUCACUGGUUUCUCCCUUCUGAAGAUCCGUGAUGUCAUUAAUUUGGUGUCGCGGGGAAUCAGGACUGUUACUUUGAAAAAUUAGAGUGUUUAAAGCAGGCUCACGCUUGAAUACAUUAGCAUGGAAUAAUGAAGUAGGACGUUUGACCCUAUUUUGUGGUUUCUAGGAUCGACGUAAUGAUUAAUAGGGAUAGUUGGGGGCAUUAGUAUUCAAUUGUCAGAGGUGAAAUUCUUGGAUUUAUUGAAGACUAACUACUGCGAAAGCA